GCGGAGGAAAAGAAACCAACAGGGAUUGCCUUAGUAACGGCGAGUGAAGCGGCAACAGCUCAAAUUUGAAAUCUGGUCCCCUUUGGGGGCCCGAGUUGUAAUUUGAAGAGGAUGCUUUUGGCGAGGCGCCGUCCGAGUUCCCUGGAACGGGACGCCGCAGAGGGUGAGAGCCCCGUACGGUCGGACGCCGAGCCUCUGUAAAGCUCCUUCGACGAGUCGAGUAGUUUGGGAAUGCUGCUCAAAAUGGGAGGUAAACCCCUUCUAAAGCUAAAUACUGGCCAGAGACCGAUAGCGCACAAGUAGAGUGAUCGAAAGAUGAAAAGCACUUUGAAAAGAGAGUUAAAAAGCACGUGAAAUUGUUAAAAGGGAAGCGCUUGCGACCAGACUUGCGCCCGUCGGAUCAACCGUCGCUUGCGGCGGCGCACUCCGGCGGGCUCAGGCCAGCAUCAGUUCGUCCGGGGGGAGAAAGGCGGCGGGAAUGUGGCUCUUCGGAGUGUUAUAGCCCGCCGUGUAAUACCCUCGGGUGGACUGAGGACCGCGCGUAGC
rnacentral:sRNA from 1 species